GAAAUGCGAUAAGUAAUGUGAAUUGCAGAAUUCCGUGAAUCAUCGAAUCUUUGAACGCACAUUGCGCCCUCUGGUAUUCCGGGGGGCAUGCCUGUCCGAGCGUCAUUGCGAACCCCUCAAGCACGGCUUGUGUGAUGGGCCCUCCCGCGUCUUGGUCGUCAAGACGGGCCCGAAAUGCAGUGGCGGCUUCGCGGUUAUCCGAUCAGCCAGCGCGUAUGGGGACUUUCUCUCUGUCACACGCCCGCGGCGCGGACCGACGCCUGUCGACCUUUAUUCAUCUUUUUCUCGGUUGACCUCGGAUCAGGUAGGGAUACCCGCUGAACUUAAGC
rnacentral:misc_RNA from 1 species